AGUGAACGCUGGCGGUAGGCCUAACACAUGCAAGUCGAACGGCAGCACAGUAAGAGCUUGCUCUUACGGGUGGCGAGUGGCGGACGGGUGAGGAAUACAUCGGAAUCUACUUUUUCGUGGGGGAUAACGUAGGGAAACUUACGCUAAUACCGCAUCCGCCCUACGGGUGAAAGCAGGGGAUCUUCGGACCUUGCGCGAUUGAAUGAGCCGAUGUCGGAUUAGCUAGUUGGCGGGGUAAAGGCCCACCAAGGCGACGAUCAGUAGCUGGUCUGAGAGGAUGAUCAGCCACACUGGAGCUGAGACACGGUCCAGACUCCUACGGGAGGCAGCAGUGGGGAAUAUUGGACAAUGGGCGCAAGCCUGAUCCAGCCAUACCGCGUGGGUGAAGAAGGCCUUCGGGUUGUAAAGCCCUUUUGUUGGGAAAGAAAAGAAGAAGGUUAAUACCCCGCUGUUCUGACGGUACCCAAAGAAUAAGCACCGGCUAACUUCGUG
rnacentral:rRNA from 1 species